rnacentral:rRNA from 1 species
AUCAGUACCAGGACUGAUAGGAUGAUCAACCAGACUGGGACUGACACAGGGACCAAAAUCCUACCGGAAGCACUACUGGGGAAUAUAGGACAAAGGGCGCAACCCUGAUCCAACCAUGCCGCGUGAGUGAUGAAGGCCUUAAGGUUGGACAGCUCGUUGGUCCGGGCCGAUAAUGACGGUAACGGAGAAAUAACCCCCGGAUAACUUCGUGCCAACAUCCGCGGUAAUACCAACGGGGCUACCGUGGGGCGUAAUCUCUGGGCGUAUAAGGCGCCUAAGCGGGCGAUUAAGUCGGGGGU